CAGAGUUGCAAAACUCCCUAACCCUUGUGAACAUACCUGUACGUCGUUGCUUCGGCGGGUAGCCCCUUUACGGGGCCUCGACUUCCCAGCGAGGUUGCCCGCCGGAGGACCACACAAAACUCUUGAAUUAAUGGCUUCUCUGAGUAUUAAUCAAAUAAGUUA
rnacentral:misc_RNA from 1 species